AUUAAGAAAUUUUAAAAAAUGCUUAUCGUAGAAGAGGCAUAUCCAAGUCAUUUUAUGUAUGAAUUGAAAGAAUUAAUAUAUUCAGAUGAAAAAGAGCACUGACCCACCAUUCAUAUUGUGUCUGGAGCAUACAGCACUAAUAAUUAUGUUGAUAUUACUACUUUUUAUGGUUGUUGUGAUUCUGUUUGCAUUUAUAUAUACUGAAUGUACUGUACUGUAUGUAAUAUUCACUAUGUAGCCUAUUGUUUUCAAGAGAACACAAUUUUAAUAUCCUAAUAUGCCCGCCAUUCAUUUUAAAAUCCUGGAUUCAGUGCUGAGCAAUGUUAAAUGUCUGAAAUUGGUCAUAAAUUCAGGUUACUGUUUAUGAUGCACAAAGUAUAAUAAAGUUCAAUGUUUAUAGCUUUGUGCCCUGUAUAUCCGAUUACCCUCAGCGCUGACACAGAUAUGAGCAAAUCAGCAAAGCCGUGAAAACAAUAGCGCCUUAAGCAAUAUCCUCCUUACCUUGCAGGCCAUGCCUCAAGAAUCAGGACUCUUACGUACUUACUUAUGGCCGCGAUUGUUUGCUUAUUUUGUGGGCAGGGACUUUGAGAACCAGGCCGUCUUAGGUAAGAUUGAUUAAUUGCAAAUCCGUCUACUUUGAUAUUAGUGUUUACUGCGAGGAGCCGGUCAGUACGGAAAACUUUAAGCCACUAGCUGCCGUGUUGGUUUGUAGCAGUUAGUGUCGCUGAGACGCCUGGAGUCAUUUUUGGCUGGAUAUGCAGCAACUCUAACAUCUAAUGAACAGCAGAGCGGUUUACAAGAUGAGUUCAACGACAGACGAGACCGGAGGUGGAAGACCUCAAAAAACUGGGGGCAAAGACCACAAAAAGCCCACAGCUGAAGCCUUGAGAGGAGCCAUCCAGCUCGGCAUCGGGUACACAGUCGGCAACAUGACCUCCAAACCAGACAGAGAUGUUCUCAUGCAAGACUUCUACGUUGUUGAGAGCGUCUUUCUUCCGAGUGAAGGCAGUAAUCUGACUCCAGCUCACCAUUACCCUGACUUUCGCUUUAAAAACUAUGCUCCCUUGGCUUUCCGUUACUUUAGGGAGCUCUUUGGGAUUAAACCAGACGAUUAUUUGUACUCUAUUUGUAAAGAGCCUCUGAUAGAGCUGUCAAACCCCGGAGCGAGUAGUUCAUGGUUUUACUUAACCAGUGAUGAUGAGUUUAUCAUAAAGACCGUGCAGCACAAAGAAGCUGAAUUUCUGCAGAAGCUGCUUCCAGGUUACUACAUGAAUCUGAAUCAGAACCCGAGGACCCUUUUACCGAAGUUUUACGGGCUGUACUGUAUUCAGUGUAGCGGCGUUAAUAUCCGAUUGGUGGUGAUGAACAACGUUCUGCCUCGCUCUUUGAAAAUGCACUACAAAUAUGACUUAAAGGGCUCUACUUACAAACGCAGAGCGUCACGGAAGGAGCGCACCAAAUCCUCCCCGACCUUUAAAGAUCUGGACUUCCAGGAGAUGCACGAAGGUCUUUACUUUGACGCAGACACAUACAACGCCUUGAUGAAGACUCUUCAGAGAGAUUGUCGGGUGCUGGAAAGCUUUAAAAUCAUGGACUACAGUUUGCUGCUGGGCAUCCAUGUUCUGGACAGGAAGCUGAGAGGGAGAGGCGGGAUAGGGGACAGUAAGCGCCAGGGUGGGCAGAAGGUCCUGUACUCCACAGCCCGCGAAUCCAUUCAAGGAGACGGCAAAGCAGGCGAGCUUCUUACUGAUGCCGAUGACGACACAUUGGGUGGCAUCCCUGCUAAACACAAAGAUGAGAAGUUGUUGAUCUUUCUGGGGAUCAUUGAUAUCCUGCAGUCCUACAGAUUUAUAAAGAAGGUUGAACACUCAUGGAAGGCUCUUGUGCAUGAUGGCGACACAGUAUCUGUCCAUAGACCGAAUUUCUACGCCGACAGAUUCCUGAAGUUCAUGGGCACCACAGUAUUUAAAAAGAUUCAGCCUCUCCGUGGUGCAUCCUCGAGAAGGAAGAAGAACUCUAUCCAGCCGUGUAGGUGGGCCUCACAGGAAGUUCUGUCGACUUUAAAAGAAGAGAGUCAAGAAGAGAGGAGGGCACAAAGCCUCGAAAACCUCGAUGAUACAGAAACACACUCCUCUCAGAAACCUGAUGUGAUUCCGAGCUCCAACAGACUCAACCCAGCGAUUUCAGCCGCCACUAUGUCUUCUUCUUCCUCUCUAGAUGAUGUGAAGACUGAACCGCAAACAGAUUCAGAGAACAGGUGUUUACGUAUAAACCCACACACUUUCCCAUCAGACAGACGUAUUAGUUCAACUAAAAAGGUCUUCGUAAACUUCCAUAUUUCUUCACAGAGCUUCCUCUUCUUUUUUUAGCUAUAAACAUGAUGUGAUUGGCACAUACCUUUUCGUUUGACUGAUGCCACUGUGUUGUUUGUCCUCAGAGAUGAUUAUAGGACGUCCAGCUCAACUCUUGCAUUAGAGGAUAUCACUCUUCCUGCUUCAAACUCACUGCCGAGCACACCUGAGUCCGGUCUGGACGUCUACUUGUGAUGCAUGAGGCCUUCUGAAGUGGACCAGAUCAUCCAAACAUCUAUAAGACUGAGAAACAGUGGACAUGCUGUCACAAUUUUGCACAACGGAUAUCUCUAGCUGCUAAUUCACAUGGACUGAGAAAGGCCUUAUGUUAGAAAGGAUGGCAGAGCGAUUGCCACACUAUAGUACUGCAGUGCCUUACACUGUCUGUGCACUUUGUACCCACUUGCAAGCACAAGAUUGUUGAAUAAUAAUAGUUACACUCCCUUUAGUCCAGUGUGCUGUAACGCACUGGUUGGUAUGCAUGCUAAAGGCGUGAUGCCUGAUUAAAGCAUGUAUCAAACAGAGAAAUAGGUUUAUUAUAUAAUAAUCCUGGUAUAAUUAUGUUCUGAGCACUCCUGACUUGUAUUGUGUGAGUAAUGAUUUCAUUUCAUCGGAUCAUUACAGUACAGUUACUAGUACCAAAUAUUAGUAACAUUGUCAGUAGUGAAAAUGGAUUGAAUAUUAUGUUUGGUCAUGUGAUUUUGACGCACAAUCAGCAUAAUGUAGUGAC